rnacentral:lncRNA from 1 species
UGAGAUUAUAUCCGGCCGGCGAUAUGUACAAUAGAAAAAAGGUGACAACCUGCAUGCAUCCGGCUGAGAUCAGGGGAAGUAGGGGGCUGUGUCAGAUAAGAGUUGGUGGCAUGGUAAACCAGUCAAGAGAGUAUAACCUAGUAAGGAAGUCUCCAAGCAAAGGUAUGCAUACAUACAACUGAUAAUUUUAUCUCUCUAAGAACACUAGAUAUUAUAUCCUCCAUUGUUAACCCUUGUAACGGCCGGUACUGAUUCUCACGCCUGAGCUAUCCCCCGACGGUCGAAGCCGUCAAGCUUUUGGUGUUGAUCGUGUUUACUGUGCAGUAUCAGGACGUCUUACGUGAUUGGGACGUGACAAAAGAUUUUGGCGUUAACAGAUAUAAAGAGUGGUACCUUGAGAAAAUAUAUCUAAUAUUAUUAUAUAUUGAAUAUGAUGAGUUCAAGAGUUUGAUGUCUUUAUAUACUGCCCAUUUAAUAAUUCUGACAUGGUUAUAUAUGCCAGAUGUAAAACCGAAGAAGAAGCUAUAACAAAUACAAGUAAUCAUAGCCCUUAUGUUUAUUUUUUACGAGGAGAAACUAGCCCAAUACUAAAGCAGUUGAUGAUGUUGAGCAACACUACAGACCCCGAUAUAUACUCGUAUCCACAAACCCUUAUCUUUGGCAGUACUACUCGGACGACUCUACUGUAGCAGAGUCGUCGGUGGUAGUAGUUGAAUUAGUAAUAGACUUGGGGUGGUGGUGAUCACCGAUGCUCUUUGUUCGUUGGAGGGAGGGAGCGCGGUGUAGCCUGCAUCGGAAGGAACCUGCAUGUGUGGUUGGAGAGCAGAGACAGCCAUUGCUCAUCUUUGUUACACUACCCUGCCUAACAAGCCCACCUGAUAAUGUUGGUGAUGUUACUUCAGUACUAUUACUACCCUGAUUUGCUGGAACUGGAUUCUCCAACUUCUUGUUUGAUGCUGCACUGCCCUCCUCAUAUUUCUCCAUUCUAUCUAUCUUCUGUCCNNNNNNNNNNNNNNNNNNNNNNNNNNNNNNNNNNNNNNNNNNNNNNNNNNNNNNNNNNNNNNNNNNNNNNNNNNNNNNNNNNNNNNNNNNNNNNNNNNNNAAAAAAAAAAAAGAGCUUAACUUAAAACCAUUAAUUUCAUAGGAAUAGAUUGACUUAUCAUGGCAUCUGCAUAUGUAUGUAUGUUGCUACCUUGGAAUGCUUCUUUCUGGUGGAUGGAUGGGUAGGAACUCUAUCUAUCUACAACAGUUUGGUCAGAGAGUCUACCUGGCUAUGCUUUAAAUAAAGAUUGAGGAUGGAUCCAUAGAGAAAUAUAUAUAUUCCUGGGUAAUGUACAAACUUUAAUAUUUGGGGGAAAAAACAGUAGUAAACAUAUGAAAAAACCUCAACUUUAGAGAGGGGGGGAAAACUAUCAGGGGAAGAAAGCAUAUUAAAUUAAAGAAAUUAGGUACGGGUAAAGAAGAUAAGAAAGGUGAGAUAGACGGAUGGAUAUUGAAUCAACCAACAAAAUAUAGGAUGAAAUUAUUAAUGGCAAUAUUACCUUUUAUCUUUCUUUCUUUGUGUGUGUGAUGUGUCACGGGUACUAUAUUAGUAUAUGCUGAUCAACACCCACCCACCCACCCACCUGCCUUCAUCACUUUUCUUUUAUGUAAUGCUUCUCAACCACUAUGAAGUAUGAACCCAUUAAUUAUUGAUUUCUUUUUCUUUUUCUUCUUUUUAUUGAGAAGUCGAUCCUGGGAAAUUAAGGACAUGGCAAUCCAGCAGUCAUCUUUGAAGAAAGAUAAAAGCAGGGAAGGGAGAAGAGAGGGGGCGGGUCCCACAAUUUAUCGUCGGCGUGGCAAAGUAGACAUUCUCGUGGAUAUCAUCUCUUACCUUCAGGCUUCAGGCACAGGCACAGGCACAGUCAUCAUUUAUUUAGCAAGUACGUAUAUGAUACUCCUUCUCCGAUUUCAUUUCAACCUUUGAUUCGAGAUUAAUCUACACUGUGGACAUGACAUGGCCACACGCUGCGUACGUAUACAAUUAAUUUAACUUUAAGAUUAAAAUAAAAAAUUAUUAAAUUUGAUGAAGAGUAAAUUAUGAAACUUUUAAAACUUGGGGAACAAGUUUGGAAAAUAAGUUUGGUGAAGCCGCCUCCUUCAAUCAUUAGCUUUCUUACCCUGGAAAAAGUUUUAUUAUACAAUAAUGAAUUUUAAAAGUUUUUUAUUGAAAACUUUUUGCACAAGUAGUAGGAGGAGGAGCAAAUUUAUUGUAUGCCCAGAUGUCGUGGGACAUGCUAUUCUUCAUUGCUUUACCAGUAAAUGCAUGUGUGCAGCAGUAUCAUGGUUUCUAAUUAUCAACAAGAGUAAAUUAGUAAAUACCAAUGAUGUAAUGGAUCAUUGAUCUGUCCCAUAACCCAUUUGAUUUAACCAAAUCGAUCUAUUUAAGAAAAAUAUUUAUACAACUAUUAUUAUUUAUAAAUUAUAUGCACUUAUAAAAUAAUAUCAUCAUUUAAUCUCUCCACUUUUUCUAUCUAAAAAAUUCAAUUCUUUCAUGUUCAAAAUUUCAAUUAAUAUAAAUACAACAUAUCUAUAUAAAUUAACUUAAGGUAUGACCAAUUUGUAAGAUGGAGAACUAUU